CCUACGGGUGGCAGCAGUGGGGAAUAUUGCACAAUGGGCGAAAGCCUGAUGCAGCAACGCCGCGUGAGCGAUGAAGGCCUUCGGGAUGUAAAGCUCUGUCCUCAAGGAAGAUAAUGACGGUACCUGAGGAGGAAGCCCCGGCUAACUACGUGCCAGCAGCCGCGGUAAUACGUAGGGGGCUAGCGUUAUCCGGAUUUACUGGGCGUAAGGGGGGCGUAGGCGGUGUCUAAAGUCUGAGUUGAAAGGCUACGGCUCAACCGUAGUAAGCCUUUGAAACUGGGGAGCUGGAGUGCAGGAGAGGAGAGUGGAAUUCCUAGUGUAGCGGUGAAAUGCGUAGAUAUUAGGAGGAACACCAGUGGCGAAGGCGGCUCUCUGGACUGUAACUGACACUGAGGCACGAAAGCGUGGGGAGCAAACAGGAUUAGAUACCCCUGUAGUC
rnacentral:rRNA from 1 species